rnacentral:rRNA from 1 species
UACGUAGGGUCCAAGCGUUGUUCGGAUUUACUGGGCGUAAAGCGCGUGUAGGCGGCAAUUCAAGUCAGCUGUGAAAUCUCCGGGCUUAACUCGGAACGGUCAGCUGAUACUGCUUUGCUAGAGUACAGAAGGGGCAAUCGGAAUUCUUGGUGUAGCGGUGAAAUGCGUAGAUAUCAAGAGGAACACCUGAGGUGAAGACGGGUUGCUGGGCUGAUACUGACGCUGAGGCGCGAAAGCUAGGGUAGCAAACGGG